UGAAGACCUAGAUAACAGAAUGGUGAAUUACUGUGUGGAGCAAUUCAAGAGGAAGAAUAACUUAGACGUGACUGGAAACUCCAAAGCACUUAGGAGGUUAAAAAAUAGUUGUGAGAAAGCAAAGAGGAGACUUUCAUUUACGUCUUCAACAGACAUUGAAAUUGACUGUUUGCACGAGGGUAAUGAUUUUUAUACAACUAUUACUCGGGCCAAAUUUGAAGAACUCAAUAGGGAUUUCUUUAUCAAGUGUAUGGAGCCAGUGAACAAGUGUUUGGAGGAUGCUAAAUUGGACGUCAGCAGCAUCCACGAUGUUGUUCUUGUUGGUGGCUCUUCGAGAAUUCCUAAGGUGCAAGAACUCUUAAAAAAUGUCUUCAAGGGUAAGGAGUUGUGUAAAGGCAUUAAUCCGGAUGAGGCAGUGGCUUACGGUGCUGCUGUUCAGGCUGCAGUCCUGAACGGGAAGGGAAAUGAAAAGCUUCAAGACCUCACUUUGUUGGAUGUCACACCGCUAUCACUCGGGGUGGAGACUGGGUGUGAACGGGACAUGACUGUUGUGAUACCAAGAAACACCAAAAUGCCCGUCAAGAGGAAUUAUACUGUUACCACUCGGCAUGAC
rnacentral:lncRNA from 1 species